rnacentral:rRNA from 1 species
GGCAGCAGCUAAGAAUAUUCCGCAAUGGGCGAAAGCCUGACGGAGCGACGCCGCGUGGAUGAUGAAGGCCGUGAGGUUGUAAAAUCCUUUUGUGAGUGAGGAAUAAACGCCGCAGGGAAUGGCGGCGCGGUGACUGUAGCUCACGAAUAAGCACCGGCUAAUUACGUGCCAGCAGCCGCGGUAACACGUAAGGUGCGAGCGUUGUUCGGAAUUAUUGGGCGUAAAGGGCAUGCAGGCGGUCUGGUAAGUUAGGCGUGAAAUCCCGGGGCUUAACCCCGGAACUGCGCUUGAUACUGCUGGACUAGAGUCAGUGAGGGGAGACUAGAAUUCCAGGUGUAGGGGUGAAAUCUGCAGAUAUCUGGAAGAAUACCGGGCGAAGGCAGGUCUCUAGCACAUGACUGACGCUCAUAUGCGAAGGUGCGGGGAGCAAACAGGAUUAGAUACCCUGGUAGUCCGCACAGUAAACUAUGCACACUUGGUGUCUGCGCUUGAGCGUGGGUGCCGUAGCUAACGCUUUAAGUGUGCCGCCUGGGGAGUAUGCCCGCAAGGGUGAAACUCAAAGGAAUUGACGG